AGAGCGAACGCUGGCGGCAGGCUUAACACAUGCAAGUCGAGCGGGCGUAGCAAUACGUCAGCGGCAGACGGGUGAGUAACGCGUGGGAACGUACCUUUUGGUUCGGAACAACCCAGGGAAACUUGGGCUAAUACCGGAUAAGCCCUUACGGGGAAAGAUUUAUCGCCGAAAGAUCGGCCCGCGUCUGAUUAGCUAGUUGGUGGGGUAAUGGCCCACCAAGGCGACGAUCAGUAGCUGGUCUGAGAGGAUGAUCAGCCACAUUGGGACUGAGACACGGCCCAAACUCCUACGGGAGGCAGCAGUGGGGAAUAUUGGACAAUGGGCGCAAGCCUGAUCCAGCCAUGCCGCGUGAGUGAUGAAGGCCCUAGGGUUGUAAAGCUCUUUUGGUGCGGGAAGAUAAUGACGGUACCGCAAGAAUAAGCCCCGGCUAACUUCGCGCCAGCAGCCGC
rnacentral:rRNA from 1 species